rnacentral:misc_RNA from 1 species
AAAAGCUGUUGAGCUUUCUGAUUGACGUUGCUGCACUUUUCGAUUAUCUCGCGCACACGUUCCUAAUAGUCAGACGACCGAUACCUAAACGUACCCCCUUCCCUCGCGGAGGCCACCACCCCCACUGCUACCCUCUCCCUCCCUCUCUGUGCACGUGCCGUCCACACCUAUAUACCAGCUUGUUGCGUCUGCAGCACACACUGCUCUUGUUCUCGUGCCUCUCUCCUUCCACGGGAGCUGACCCAAUCAAGAUGAACCGCGGGGUGGCAGUCAAGAUCAAGUACUUUGAUGACAACGGAGGCUGGUCGGAGCGCAAGAGCGCGGCUGCCAGCAGCGCCGUGUUUGCGCUGAAGAACAUCACCGUGGCAAAUGUGGACUUGAAUCAUGUAGACACUGCGGAUAUUGACCGUCUGCAAGAUUUGGUAGUCUCGAGUGCGCCGACGGCGGUGGUGAUGCAGAACGUCUCACCGGCGACGCUGAGCCGCAUCAAGAGCUACAACCAGAUUCGCAAAGCCUACGCGGUGAUGGAGACGAGUCGGUGCGAGCAGCAGGAGGAUAGUACCAUAGCCCUGCUCCGCCUCGGGCUGCAAUGUGAGCCGACGGAGGUGCCCAAGACGGACGGCAAGCAGGCAUUCCGCGCCCUGGUGCAGGUGAACAUCCGCAUCCCUAACGGUCCAUCGUUGUCCAUCACUGUUCUGCACAUGGAGCCUGGCGCGUCCCGCCGCCUCACGUUUGCCAUGGCGCUCUUGCGUGCGCACCCGAACGUAGAUAUCGCUGUUCUGCUCAGCAACGUGACGGAGGGCAUGGUGCUCACCGAGGACCCCUACCGCGAGCUACAGGCGAACCGCGCAACCGCUGGCUUUGUGGAUGUGAUGGAGGAAGGGAUGGAGCGCACUUCGAACUGGACGACGCCGUGGACGGUGUGGCUGAAGAGUCCCAAGUACAGCGUUGUCGCAUCGGCAGCGGAGCUGUUCGUCGGUCAGGAGCCGCGCUACCUCUCCACUACACUCGUCGUUCGUGGGCAGCCGAACUCGACGAUAGCGAUUCCGAUGCCACGCAGCGCCAAGUCCUGCCGUGGGAAGAGUCCCAGCGGGCCUCCUGCACCCGGUACGCCUUCUCAGCCUCUCGCUGAUCCUGCCAUUCUGAGCGCGGAAACGGUAAAGACACCGAUGCCGACACCGCAGACAAACUCGUCCGCCACCGAGAUCAUCCAGCGCCUCAUGCGGCAGCAACAGACAAGCCAGCAGCGAUGGAAGUCGACGCACUCCUUUCUACUCAAGGGCAGUGAUACGAAGCUCUCUACGGCAGAGGCGAUGUACGACGUGUCGAGCCACUUUGCGAACGCCAACGACGCAGUGGACGCGCUGAACUCGAAGGCGCUGAGCUGGCCUGCUGAGUUCUGCGUAGUGCAUAACACGGUGCUCUGCGCCGACACGGUGGUUCACUGUGACCGCCAAGCCUUCCGCCGCUACGUCCGCGACAACAAGACGAACGUCAACCUCAGCUCACAGAUUUUUGCCGCUACUACGGCCUUCGCGGCGGCUGUGGCAGCAGCCCCUGUCGUCACCCCGGUGGCUGCCGCGUCUGCGGGGUUGCCCACCAGCGUCAUCACAAACGACAAACAGUGGCCCAAGGCAACGAACGUGCGCAGUGAGAUGGAGGAGUUCUUGAAUUUCCAGCGGCAGCUGAAGGAGUCGGUGCGGCGGGAGUGGAGCGAGUCUUGCUGCGUGAGUGUGUAUCAGAUAACGCCGCGGGAGAUGAAGUUCAACAUCACUCCUGCCAUCGGCUUGGCAAAGGACAAUCUGAAGAAGGCGAUUCACUACCUCAACCAUGCUAAGACGGCGUCGAAAGAAACGAAUCCGCUGUACGACUAUCCGUAUGACUACGCCCUGUUGUUCUCCGUCGAGCGGCAGGGUUACUGGCUGAUCGCCGCCACGCAUGUACCGUGCGACAUUGUGGCGUGCCGCAUGGUGGUGUAGCCCUGUGAGAAAUGCUUUCUGUCGGAACCGAGCCUCAACCGUUCCUUCAGCGCUCGGCACGUGCAGGCACGGACGCUGUUGCCGUAUGCCGUUUUUGGUGCAGCGCGCCGUAUUCAUUACUUUCUUCGUGUCUGUGUGAGCGCUUAAAGCUCGCUGAGCUGGCGGUUGGCACUCUUGUCUUGUUCCGCUGUCUGUCGUUUCUCUCGUGUGCAUGUGUGUAUGCGUGUGAGCGCGUUGCAUGACUGCUGGUGGCGCGCCGCUCUACCAUGCUUCAUUUUUUUUUUGCGUCGGCGUUUUGCUGUGUUUUCCAAUCAAUGGCACAGCGAACACGAUACCCGGACCCUCCCCUUCCCCGCAUUCUCGUCCUGACAAUCUGCAUAUAAGCUCGGUCUUGCCUCCUUCACCGAUUUUUUAUUUUUCUUCGGGCUUGACUCGCGGUGUCUUGGGCAGUCUCCUGUUGUGCACCUCCCCGUUUACUCCUUGGUACUCUCUACUGCCUCUUUCUGGCUCUCGGUGCUUGACGCUGUGGAUUGGUGCUUUCUAAGGAGGACUUGAAGCUCUCGCUGUUGCGGUGGCGGCUGAGUACUAGCAGUGUGCAUGCACUGCAACUGACAGUCCAGCGAAGAGCGUUUUUCCCCUCUCUUGUCUGGUCUUGUACGUUUCUGAGCUCUGUUUUUGUUUUCUAUCUCUUGCGCUCUUCCUGUUCGGUGCUUCAUUUCUGUUCUUGUGCGUCUCUAUGCGAUUUCACUGGGAUCCUUCGCCGCGCGCUCGUGCGCGUGUAUUGGCGAUGGUGCACUCAUGCGCGUCUUUGUUAGCUAUUUUCGAGCAGCCGGCGUGGCGGUUGCGCUGGCGGUGUCCGAUGACGGUGCGAUGACAGCGGCAAAUGUCGGAGCGAAACUGCUUCCUCUCUCUUUCCUUUUCUUGGUUCUGUUGAGGUGCGUGUCUCUCUCACAUGCACGUGUGAUGUGUGGUGCGGCGUUGUAUGGGUAUGCAUGCUGUUUUGUAUUGUGUUUUCCGUUCUCCUUCUUCCGUUCUCUUCCACUGUCUCCCAGUCCUCGUCAUAAACCAGAAGCACCUCCAUCCCCUCCCAGUCAACGGAAUGCACGUUUCCAUCGAAAACGAAGACGCGCGGCGAAACACAAUGGCGAGGAUGCCAAUCGGCAAAACUGCUGCGGUAGUGGAUCAGACACCUGCACGCAUGGAGAGGCGGACUGCUUAGGGAGCUCAAAGCCAUGUGCAAGCCCGACUAACAUUACGGAAGAGCGGUGGAUCGGUAUUCAGGGCGAAUGGCUCUAGCGUCGGAGAGGAUUGUGCGUCAUGAGGCACAACUCCUCCGCUGAUGCAGGCCAGUACCUUUCACGUACCUCUUUCUGUGUUUCUUUGAUAGCGUCAUGCGCCGUUCAUCAAUUUUCAUCACAACCCUGUCGCUUUCUCGUGUUGCAUCUACGGUGAUGUCAUUGCUGUAAUGCAUCAUCGCUGCUCACUUCUUCCCAACUUUUAUUUCUCGCUUGAUGGAAG